UUUCUCCUGCGCCUCUCACCCUCUGAUUUUCCGCUGCAAGAACGUGAAACCCUAAUUCAUGUCAUUCUGUCAUAUUUCUCUCUUACAUCUUCUUCUAUUUCUGUUUUGUCCAUGUUGUGCAUCUGCUGAGAGAGUUUAUCUAUGAACUGAUUGUUUUUUGUUGUAAGAUCGAGAUAAACCCAUGGAUAAUACUCAUCUGAUUGUUAGUCUCGAAUCAAGAUCGAGAACAAAACCCAUUUCUCUAAUUUCGUAGCCUUCAUUUUCAGAUUUUUCAUCACUGAUUUUUUUAUCUUUUAUUGUUUUUUGUUGUGCUCUUAUUUUGUGAAUGGAAGGUUCUAGAUUUCAUGAGUUCAGAUUAGGGUUUAUUUUCUUAAUUUGUUCUGUCAAAUAGGGUUAACAGUUUUGCUUUCAAAUGGUUGGGAACUGGGGUUUAUAUGAUAUUUGUUCGAUUGAAGUCUUAAUUUUGGUAAGUUUAGAGUUUACUGUAAAAGCAUGGGAUUUGGAUUUUGAUUCAGAUUUCGCUUUUGUAGCAUAAGUUUUAUUAUUGGAAGUAAUUUUUCAGCUUUCGACUUUUAUUUUCUCUAUUCGCACAGGUCCAACUAUCUCUUGUUCUUUCACUUUCACAAAGUAAUAUUAAUCUCAGAUCUGUAUAUAUUGGGGUUUCGAUUUUGUUGUAUUUAUGAGUUGAUGCUUUCAAAUCAGGGUUUAUUCUUCUUUUCUUGUUAAUUUGUUGUGUCAAAUUUUUUCUUUCAAAGUUUUUAAUAGGGGUUUGUUUUGCUUAUUCAAAUUAGGGUCUAAGAAUUAGUAUGUUGAUUUUGGGCUCUGCAACUGUGAUGGUGAUUCCUGAGUUGCAUUUUUUUGUUUUUGUCUUAGUUUGGAUGAAGUUUUCAUAGUCAAUUUUUUGGGUUUAAAUCUUAUUUAUUUAUGGAAGUGAUAGUUAAGGUUUACUGUGAUAGCAUGGGGUUUUGAUUUAGGUUCAGAUUUUCAACUUUUGGUAGCAUAGUGUUUACUGUAAUUAUUGAGUUGGUCUUAUAAAUGGAAGUAUGUUCUUGUUCUCUUUUGCCUUUGUUUCUCUAUUUGCACCAACAAUUUUUUUUUCCUCUACUUGUUGGUGCUUUUGUUCACUGCUUGCUUGGUCGAAGCAGGUCUUACUCCCUCUGUAACUUAUGUUACUAGGAUAGAAAAAGCUUUGCAUAACUUUACAGGUAUACUCAGUUGAGAAUUCAACCAUGAUAGUGUUCUUGACUUAAAACUUUUGUUCAAGUCUUAUUUUACUUGUUCUGAAUUUCUAUUGCCAUCAUGAUGAAAGGGCAAUAGAAAUUGAUAUUGAAGAAACAUAUUUGCCCUUGUUAGUAUUUAACUUGUGGUUUGUGUGACCUCUGCGGUGCUGGUGCUUUUAUACUUUGCGGCAUGUUAUUUUUUAAAUGGUGAUGUUAGAAAUCUGGAAAGCAGUUAAAACUGGUGAAUUUAUGUGUGUAGUGGCGUCGUGAUUUUUUUAUGCUAUUAUACAACAUCAUGACAGUACCCCAAGUAGGGUUGAUGAGAGUUGUCAUAAACUAAACAUUUAGGCCUUGAUGUUUCAUUGCUUCUACUCUUCACUUACUUUUUUGUAUUAAAAUUCUUAACUAAGUAAUCAGCUACCUCUUAUGCACUAUUUUUCUUAUUAGCUCGACUUCUUUUGUUGUCUCUUUUAAUAGGUGAAGCGACUUUUGAGUGAGGGGAUGGAUUUCAAUAUUCUUUCCUGGGGUCCAAAUCAGUAGAUCACAAGGUAUGACUCUGCUACACCUUGCUGCAAAGGGAGGGCAUCUUAAGGUCAUGGAUGAAUUGCUUAAGAAUGGAGUAAAUAUUGAUGCUAGAACAAAGGGUGCAUGUGGCUAUUCACCACCUUGAUGGCGAUAUUGGACGCUACAAAUUCAUAACCUCGGUGGCGGCAUUAGAUGCUACAGAUUCAUCACCCACAAUACCAAGCAGAACUGCAGAAGUAGUUGGUUUAUGGCUUUCCACAAUUUAAGCUGCUAUUUGGUCACGGCUUGUGAAACUUUUAAUAUGCAGGCAAGUACUCUGCGUUCUCUCACAAUUUGACUUGGUACCAUAACAUGGUGAUGAAGGUCAACUAACUGCCGCAUUUUCUAAAAACAUGCAAAACCUUCCAUAUUUCAGGUGAUUCAGUUUUUGUUCUUUUUAAUUUAAAUGUGGCAUUUGCUAAUGGAAUUUGUGUAUAAUGUACUUGGAAGUAAUUAGUCAUUGGAGCCGAAAAGUUAUGAAGAGAUUAGAAAACUCAUUUUAACUUAAAAAAAUUAGGGUGUGGUGGUUUGGUUCAGAUCUUUUUAACUUCUCACUUGGUCUCUUUUGGUGCAUCCAAACACAAAACCAGGUGCCUCUGUUCUUUAGAUUGGGUUGACAUGUGAAGGCAAAAGGCUUGUUGGUGAGGCACAUGCUGGACAGAUUACACGUCAUCAAGGGGCUGCUUUACUUUGAGGAGCUUUGUAGCAGCUCAGAGUGUUAGCUUUGAAUUUUUUUGGGUUUAAUUUCAUUACGGAUAGAACGAUUCUGUUAUAUGUGUUAGUAAUGAAUGUAUGAAUCUUGUUUUGAGCA